AAAGUUCCACACUCCCAGGCCAGAGCCUCCUCAGCUUCUUUUUUUCCCUCCUUCUCCUUCCGCCCCCUCCCCCGCACGGCUGCCUCCAUUUCCUUAAGGAAGGGUUUUUAUCUCUCUCCCUCCUCCACACCGUAGCGGCGCAUGAGCGGGUCCGGCGGGCGGCCGAGUUUUUCAACGGAUAACUUCACCAAGAUGUCCAGUGAUAGGCAAAGGUCCGAUGAUGAGAGCCCCAGCACCAGCAGUGGCAGUUCAGAUGCGGACCAGCGAGACCCAGCCUCUCUAGAGCCUGAAGAACAAGAGGAAAGAAAACCUUCUGCCUCCCAGCAGAAGAAAAACACCAAACUCUCCAGCAAAACCAGUGCUAAGUUAUCCACUAGUGCUAAAAGAAUUCAGAAGAGCUAGCUGAAAUAACCCUUGAUCCUCCUCCUAACUGCAGUGCUGGGCCUAAAGGAGCUAACAUUUAUGAAUGGAGAUGAACUAUACUUGGUCCACUAGGUUCUCUCUAUGAAGGUGGUGUGUUUUUUCUGGAUAUCACAUUUUCAACAGAUUAUCCAUUUAAGCUACCAAAGGUUACUUUCCGCACCGGAAUCUAUCACUGCAACAUCAACAGUCAGGGAGUCAUCUGUCUGGACAUCCUAAAGACAACUGGAGUCCCGCUUUGACUAUUUCAAAGGUUUUGCUGUCUUGUUUGUUCCCUUUUGACAGACUGCAACCCUGCGGAUCCUCUGGUUGGAAGCAUAGCCACUCAGUAUUUAACCACCGAGCAGAACACGACAGGGUAGCCAGACAGUGGACCAAGAGAUACGCAACAUAA